GGUAAUAAUAUAAAAUGGCACCGCCCUUAUUAACAACUGGCCACCUCAAAGUAGUGUAAAAUCAUAAAGUGGUCCUCCAAUCUCUCCAUGAGUGCCACAUCAUCACGCUUCAUUUCAUGAUUCCCUAGGCCCUCCUCAAAGGGCAUUUCGUAUUUCUAAUACAUUAAUUUCAUUUCAUGAUAACAUUUAAUUUAUUGUUGAAACUGCCACACACAAUGCUAAGUUUCAUUGGUUGUUGUUUCCGGUGUUACAUGCAGAGUCUCUCUUCAUCUUUAGAUGUUUAGGUUCAUUAGUGAUUGAAAUACAAAAUUUCAUUUCACGAAUUCAAAUAAACAAUUUCAUUUCCAAUACAUACAAGCCAUAUCAUUUAAACAAGCGAUACAUUAUACUGACAUCAAAUGUGCCCAUGUCUAAACAAGCUAAAUAUCAUUGUUAUAUAGGAAAUUCCAGUCUGGUUGAUAGUAGUUAAACAGAUGCUCCGGUGUACACAAAUAGACACAUGUACUUGUUACUUAAGAAGGUCCAUUCUGCAAAACAUCAAUACACCAGAACUUCGCCUAUGGCUUCCACUCCCUCAUCAUUACUCUUUCUUGGAACUGCAACCUCUGCCUCAUCCAUAACUUCCCCCUUCUCUAUCUAUUAUGAGUUUUCCGUUGUUCUCCCUCUACCUUCUUCUUUGGCUAUCUAGUCAAUCUCUCCUCAAUCGUGG
rnacentral:lncRNA from 1 species